UACAGAGGGGCGAGCGUUAUUCGGAAUUAUUGGGCGUAAAGGGCGCGUAGGCGGCUUUUCAAGUGACGGGUGAAAUCCCUCGGCUUAACCGAGGAACUGCCUGUCAGACUGGAAGGCUUGAGACCGGGAGAGGUGAGUGGAAUUCCCAGUGUAGCGGUGAAAUGCGUAGAUAUUGGGAGGAACACCAGUGGCGAAGGCGGCUCACUGGACCGGAACUGACGCUGAGGCGCGAAAGCGUGGGAGCAAACAGG
rnacentral:rRNA from 1 species